rnacentral:rRNA from 1 species
AGUGAACGCUGGCGGUAGGCCUAACACAUGCAAGUCGAACGGCAGCACAGUAAGAGCUUGCUCUUACGGGUGGCGAGUGGCGGACGGGUGAGGAAUACAUCGGAAUCUACUUUUUCGUGGGGGAUAACGUAGGGAAACUUACGCUAAUACCGCAUCCGACCUACGGGUGAAAGCAGGGGAUCUUCGGACCUUGCGCGAUUGAAUGAGCCGAUGUCGGAUUAGCUAGUGGGCGGGGUAAAGGCCCACCAAGGCGACGAUCCGUAGCUGGUCUGAGAGGGUGAUGAGGGACACUGGAACUGAGACACGGUCCAGACUCCUACGGGAGGCAGCAGUGGGGAAUAUGGGACAAGGGGCGCAAGCCUGAUCCAGCCAUACCGCGUGGGUGAAGAAGGCCUUCGGGUUGGAAUGCCAUUUUGUUGGGAAAGAAAAGCAGCAGGUUAAUACCCCGCUGUUCUGACGGUACCCAAAGAAUAAGCACCGGCUAACUUCGUG